rnacentral:rRNA from 1 species
UGCUUACAACAUAGAGUUAAUGCAUCGGAUGCUAUAAGAACUUCGCAGUUAAGCACGCAGGCUAGAGUAGUACUGGGAUGAGUGACCACCCACGAAGUCAUAGUUUUUUACAUGC